rnacentral:rRNA from 1 species
GAUGAACGCUGGCGGCGUGCCUAAUACAUGCAAGUCGAGCGAACGGACGAGAAGCUUGCUUCUCUGAUGUUAGCGGCGGACGGGUGAGUAACACGUGGAUACCCUACCUAUAAGACUGGGAUAACUUCGUGAAACCGUAGCUAAUACCGGCUAAUAUUUUGAACCGCAUGGUUCAAAAGUGAAAGACGGUCUUGCUGUCACUUAUAGAUGGAUCCGCGCUGCAUUAGCUAGUUGGUAAGGUAACGGCUUACCAAGGCGACGAUGCAUAGCCGGUCUGAGAGGAUGAUCAGCCACACUGGAACUGAGACACGGUCCAGACUCCUACGGGAGGCAGCAGUAGGGAAUCUUCCGCAAUGGGCGAAAGCCUGACGGAGCAACGCCGCGUGAAUGAUGAAGGUCUUCGGAUCGUAAAACUCUGUUAUUAGGGAAGAACAGAUGUGUAAGUAACUGGGCACAUCUUGACGGUACCGAAUCAGAAAGCCACGGCUAACUACGUG